AGAUUGAACGCUGGCGGCAGGCCUAACACAUGCAAGUCGAGCGGCAGCACGGGUACUUGUACCUGGUGGCGAGCGGCGGACGGGUGAGUAAUGCCUAGGAAUCUGCCUGAUAGUGGGGGAUAACGCUACGGAAACGGACGCUAAUACCGCAAUACGUCCUACGGGAGAAAGCGAGGGACCUUCGGGCCUUGCGCUAUCAGAUGAGCCUAGGUCGGAUUAGCUAGUUGGUGGGUAAUGGCUCACCGAAGGCGACGUAUCCGUAACUGGUCUGAGGAGGAUGAUCAAGUCAACUACGUAGGAACUAGAGACCACGGGUACCAAGACCUCCGUACGGGGAGCCAGCAGGUGGGAAUAGUUGGAAC
rnacentral:rRNA from 1 species